AUAAAUAAUUUAGAAAUGAUUAUAGUAUCAGGAUACGUGUAGUGAUAUGCUUUAUAUAAGAGAUUUAAGCAUCUGUGGAUUUUGGUAUUUGCAGGGGUCCUGGAGCUAAUCACUCGGGGACACUGAGGGACAACUGUGCUGUGUCCUAUGAGACAGAAUCAUUCUGAGGUUUGUCUCCCACUUGGCCCUGACUUGGGGAUCUUUAAAGGACAGGACGUUUUCUGUGUGUGUCCCUGCUCUGCUUGUGCCUACAAUAGCAACAGGACUUCCUAAUUAUUUGCAGAAAGACUCAAAGACUAAGCCAGACCUGAAAUAAACUUCCAGUGCCCACAGUACACAAAAUAAAAACAGGACUCCAUGUACCCUGUAUAGAGAGGAAUGGAGAUUGCCUCUGGCCACUUCAGUUGCUAAGCUGUCCUGCGGUGGUUCUGGCACAGGGAAGGGAGUGUUGAGGCCCAUCUGCCCGUCAGCAUCACAGCAUGGCAGCCAUUGAUCUGUCCCAUGACUUUGUUUCUCGAGAGCCAGUCUGCUUUUAUGAAGAAGAGACAGAUGUAGAAAGGAUGGUGGUUGACUGCCAGGCAAACUGUUACCAGGUAAAAAGAAAGGGUAUCAUGCAAAGUGAAAUUCUUCCAUCCCCGAGCUAGACACAUGUCCUUCUAGACAGACUCGUCUCCAGAGCUUUCAAAGGAAUACAGCGCCACUCAAGGCCUGAGUCCCUAGUUGGAUUUCCCCUGGGGACUCGGCCUUAGAUUGGUGAAGUGUUACUUUGAAGGUCAUCCUUAUAUUUCAGUAAUUUUUUUGUGGUGCUGGGGAUUGAACCUAGGUAAGCCCUCUACCACUAACUACACCCCCACACUUACUAAUUUUUUUUUUCCUUUGAGACAGGGUCUGGCUGUAUAGCUCAGCCUGGAACUUGUCAUGUAGCCC
rnacentral:lncRNA from 1 species